rnacentral:tRNA from 1 species
UGGGAUGUAGCUCAAGAGGUGAGAGCCACGGCCUUAUAAGCCGUAGGCCCUAGCAAGGUAAAUAUGGGUUCGAUUCCCAUCAUCCCGA